rnacentral:tRNA from 1 species
ACUCCAGUGGCACAAUGGGUCGGUGCAUCUGGCUCUUAACCAGAAGGUUAGUGGUUCAAGCCCACCCAGGGACG